rnacentral:rRNA from 1 species
GACGAACGCUGGCGGCGUGCCUAAUACAUGCAAGUCGAACGCAGUGGGGACGGGUGAGUAACACGUGGGUAACCUCCCAUCAGAGGGGAUAACACUUGGAAACAGGUGCUAAACCGAUCCUGAUGGAUGGACCCGCGGUGCAUUAGCUAGUUGGUGGAGUAACGGCUCACCAAGGCCACGAUGAAUAGCCGACGUGAGAGGGGGAUAGGCCACACUGGGACUGAGACACGGCCAAGACUCCUACGGGAGGAAGAAGUAGGGAAUCUUAGGCAAUGGACGAAAGUCUGACCGAGAAAAGCCGCGUGAGUGAAGAAGGUUUUCGGAUCGUAAAACUCUGUUGUUAGAGAAGCGGUAUCUAACCAGAAAGCAACGGCUAACUACGUGCCAGCAGCCGCGGUAAUAC